CACGAAGAAAUCGUCCUGGACAAUUACUACAUUAACAUGUGAAGGAUCCCAUGUACUUGCUAAGUCAAACAAGAGUAAAAAUAAAAAUAAAAUACCAAACUACUUGUAAAUCUAACAAUACUUAUUCAACAUCGAAACUUCGCCUUAAAUCAAACAAGUCAAAUCUUAAACGGCUAAACUCGAGAGCAAAAGAAAAAUAAAACUGAAAG
rnacentral:lncRNA from 1 species